rnacentral:snRNA from 1 species
AUAUUUCUGCCCGGCGCUCCCAGGGCGAGGCAUGUGCAUUGCACUCCGCUCGUGUUGACCCCUGCCACUUCCCCAAACUGGGGUAGAUGGGGCAUGCAAUUUUUAGUAGUGGGGGGACUGCGUGCGCGCUAUCCCCCC